CCUACGGGUGGCAGCAGUGAGGAAUAUUGGUCAAUGGGCGAGAGCCUGAACCAGCCAAGUCGCGUGAGGGAGUACUGCCCUAUGGGUUGUAAACCUCUUUUGUCGGGGAGCAAAAGCCGGACGUGUUCGGCUGUGAGAGUACCCGAAGAAAAAGCAUCGGCUAACUCCGUGCCAGCCGCCGCGGUAAUACGGAGGAUGCCAGCGUUUUUCGGAUUUAUUGGGUUUUAAGGGUGCGCAGGCGGAUUUUUUAGUCAGCGGUAAAAUCGUGGGGCUCAACCCCAUCCAGCCGUUGAAACUGGGGAUCUAGAGUGUGCGAGAGGUAUGCGGAAUGCGUGAUGUAGCGGUGAAAUGCAUAGAUAUCACGCAGAACCCCGAUUGCGAAGGCAGCAUACCGGUGCACAACUGACGCUCAGGCACGAAAGCGUGGGUAUCGAACAGGAUUAGAUACCCCGGUAGUC
rnacentral:rRNA from 1 species